UAUCUCUGUAGAGUCUGCAUAUCAAUAAGCGGAGGAAAAGAAACUAACUAGGAUUCCCUUAGUAACGGCGAGUGAAGCGGGAAGAGCUCAAAUUUGAAAUCUUCAAGGUUUUACCUUGACGAAUUGUAGUUUAAGAGAAGUGUUUUCUGUUGGAGUUUUGGUAAAAGUUCUUUGGAAUAGGACAUCAUAGAGGGUGAGAAUCCCGUAUUUGACCAUUAUCUCCAGCGUUGUGAUACACUUUCAAAGAGUCGGAUUGUUUGGGAAUGCAGUCCAAAAUGGGUGGUAAAUUUCAUCUAAAGCUAAAUAUUGGCGAGAGACCGAUAGCGAACAAGUACCGUGUGGGAAAGAUGAAAAGAACCUUGAAAAGAGAGUUAAACAGUACGUGAAAUUGUCAAAAGGGAAGCGUUUGACACCAGUGUUGUUUUCUCGAAAAUCAAUUAAAAAAAGUUGGAUUUUGUAUUGUUAAGACCUUAUCAGCUUACUGUACUCUUUUCUUGCUUUUUUUAAUGCACUUUUCGUUUAACAAGUCAACAUCAAUUUCUUUUGUUGUAAAAGAGUCAUUGGAAGGUGGCUUUCACUUCGGUGAAAGUGUUUAUAGCCUUUGGCUUCUGCAAUCGGAGAGAUUGAGGUCUGCAGCGUAGAUCCUUCGGGGCUAGAUACGUAGAUGCUAAGUUAUAGUUUUUUAUAGACAACUUGUUGACUAUAAUUAAUCAUGUAGCUUACUCGUUUGCGCUAUUUUACCUACGCUUAGGAUGUUGAAGAUGUAGCACAUCAU
rnacentral:rRNA from 1 species